rnacentral:ncRNA from 20 species
CUCUUAUCAAGAGAAGGUGGAGGGACUGGCCCGAUGAAACCCGGCAACCGGACACGCGUCGCGGUGCUAAUUCCAGCAGGGAGUGAAACCCUGAUAGAUAAGAG